AAUCAAGUAAUGAUGUUCACAAGUUUUGAUGAUCAAUCUGUGUUUCAGUCCAUAGAUGCAAAUCUAAGUCGACCAUCAUUGAAUAGCUAUAUUCAUUUCACACAUAAGAUGCAAAAUUGUUUGAACUAAAUAGAUUUUGAUUUAACAUGUGAUUAUUAUUGUAAUAGGAGGGAGAUGAGGGUUAAGAAUGGAUACAUCGAUGGUAAUGGCAAAUAGAAGUUCUCAUGUGGUGAUUGGUGACAAGAUUAAUCGGAUACAAGAGCUGACGGACAAUAUUUUGCAUGCCAACUUCAGGUCUCCUUUACACUGACAAACACGUAAAUCUAAGUAGGGAGUACCCAUGUCUCAUCCUCACCAAUCUCUUCCAUCACACUGCUCUAUUAGUGAGUUAAGUUUCUUUCUCUCUGUUGUUUAUUCAGAUUAUUUAUUUAUUAUUUUCACUAUUAUUUACUUAAGCCCCCAUGUUCUCUUAGGAAUGGUAUAAGAGGCUGAUCAUGAGUUUAUUCUUUGUCAGCCCCAAAAGGUUGUUUUACUCAGUUUUUGGGAUCUUGACAAAAUCUGUCUAAGCAACCAAAAAGAAAGCACGCAAGUGGAGGUUUCAUUAUUUUGCAAUUUAUGAUGACUUAGAUUCUGGUGAUUGUGUUAACUUUUAGCUUCUUACUGAUUUGAGUUCGUAUAUGGUCAUUUUUUCAGUUUUUGCUGUUAGUCUGUAUAUU